CCUGUAGCCGUGAUGGACCCAAUGAAAGGAACAGCAGCUCCGUCGUGACAAAGUAGAAGCACUCACAGACACUCAGAAGCCAUGCAAUCGUCACACCUACCUUUCGCAGAACUCCAGAGUUGAAUGUUCGCUGAAACUUGAUGUCUGGAUGUCAUUUCUUAAUUCCUCAAGAUGAUGGUAUGGUAACGGGAAUUGUUGGCAGUAAGAACAGUUCCAUUGGGGUAGGUUG
rnacentral:lncRNA from 1 species